GAGACAAAUGCAGGAGACAAGCAGAAUUAUGCCUUUAAAGUUGUUGGUAUCGCUUUGGCUUUUCAGAUCUUGGGACAAAUCCUUCAGGCAAUCCCAGGCUCCGAGCAAUCAGCAGACCUCUUCAUGUGGUUUGGCAAACUCACCUAAGGCAACACUGCCAAAGCCAUGGAGAAGACUCCUCAGCAACAUCAAGUAACUACAGCAGUAGUCGUGCCCAGGGCUAACCUCAAACACUUGGUUUCCACUUGAUUGGAAACAAGUGUGCUGAAAGCUGUCUGCUCUUUCCUCACUACACAAUGUGGACUGCUGCCUGGCUCUGGUCUGGAAACAAUUAUUUCCCUCAUGUACCUACCGGUUCCGAACAGUCAAAGACUUAUCCCUAGACUUUCUUUUCCUCUUUGCACUCUUAUUAGCCCCUUCCUUUAUAAAUAGAACUUGUCAUUGUAUAUAAUGCCCACAGAACAACUCCAGUUCUGUUAUUUGACAAAAUUACUGCCACAUUUUAAAGCCAGGUCUCCCUUGAGGGAGUUUUGUAUCUGUAAAUAUGCCAUAGUGAAUUCACCCCUCUUUUAUCCUGUUCUGAUAGGAUGAAUUUUGAUGGUGUUUGAAUUUGUGGGACUUUAAGAAAGGGUGGGACUUUAAGCACACAUUGUGGUUACAGUAGUGUAAAUAUUCUUCAACAAGCCCAAAGAAUGGUCAAAACAUCCACACACAGAUGUGCAGUAAUGCUUCCAAGUAUUUGCAGAUGCUACCAGCAUAGCAUAGUACAGCUGUUCUAAAAAAGAACAUACCUGUUUAUCUGCCAGUAUUCCUGGAUUUAUUCUUUCUUUCAAAUGUUCCUACUUUUCAACAUGUAUGCAGACAUGAGAGAAUGUGAGAAACAGAAUCUGCAGAUAUUUGCACACAGAGGUAAGCUCAUGCCAUGAAUAGUGCCAUUAUACUAAGCAGGGUCACUUUUCUCAGGGAGAUUGAUCUCAUACUUUAUUUCAUGAAGACUAGUUCCCAACUAAGCACAGACUGUGAGGAAACAAAUUGGAGUGGAAAGAGUCUAUAAAUUUCUUUUCCUGCACUGAAUUCAAAAUAGCGUUUCUCUUACUGGAAAAACAAACAUAAGCUCAGUUUGGGUGCUUUCUGUCUGCCUGCCUGCGGGAUUGGUAGUCCACACCUUCUGCCAGUUCGGAGACCUCUCUGCCC
rnacentral:lncRNA from 1 species